CCGGGUGUUGGUUCCGUCCUACAAAAAGCCAUGAUUAAAUAUAAACUCUAGGGUUGCCGAAUGUUAGCUAAUGUGAGACCGAAGAUGCGAAUUCCAAGCUUCGAAUCCAAAAAUUUCUAAAAAUAAAAAUAAGUAUUACAACCACUUAACUACAAUUUAUUGACUUUAGAGACUUCCGUAUUUACUUUGGGAUUUUUGGGAUUUUAAGGAGUUAGAAUGCUGAAGGAGUUCUGGUUAGGAUUUUUAGGGGGUCAGGGCUAAAAUCUGAUGGAACAUCUAUAGAAAGCUAAGAAUGCUCUUGCCUGCAAGAAACACAAUCCGAAUGAAAAUCACUAUGGAUGUCGUCGCUCCCCGUGACGCUUUGGCAUGGAGAGAGGCUACACAAUUUGCUAGCUUUGUGCCUAACCCCUCACCCUACUACACUUCAUGGCCCCGAACCCCAUUCACUAUCUUGCCCACUGCCUAGUACGGGCUAAAUGAUUCUCAAAAGGCGGCUUCUGCUCGUUGUUAUACGACCGGAGAUCUGGGACGUUCCUGUUAAACACCAACCACCAAUGGUGUCUAAAGUCCGCGCUCUUCUUGAAGCCAUUACCUAUGCCAACAUUUCUCCUCUCCCAUGCACAGUCUACUUCCACUAUCUUGAUGUGAUCACCUGCAACAGAGGUCUCACAAAUGGUUUUGGCUUUGCUUCGGCUACAUGGGAAGCAUUUGCUGAGCUAAUCUGUUCGGAUUCUUCCAUUGAUAUUCACUUCACUCCAUAAUGCUUCAACAAGAAAGCUGAUUGGGUUUCCAAAACUUUGGUAACCUAACAAGACAACUGAAGAAUCAUACAGAUUAGAAUGCCACCAACCAAUAACCAUUAAAGUAAAAGCACUUGCACAAGUAACAGUUAAACCAAGGGAAAGAGUUAAAGUUGUUGUCUUUGUCUCAAAACCCCACAAGAAUACUGCAGCUGGUUCAAGAUUAAGUAAAUCAGUCAACUAAGCACAAACAAACAAAUAAUUACAAUUAAGCUAAUGCUCAAUGAUUGUUAAUGAUGCUCAAUCAUUUAAAGAUAAACAGGUGGGAAUUUCAAACUCCAUCAUCCUAUACAGUUCGAAGAUUUCCGCUGUUAAAUCGACAACACAGAGGGCAAAAGAGAAUCCAUACCACACAGGAGUGAGUCAAGAAGGUAAAAGGUAAAUUGAUAAUGGGAAUAUGUAGCUGUGGCAUGCCCUAGUGGAACCAAAAUCCCAACUCAAAACACCAAUAUAUAAAAAUAAAUAAUAUAAGCAAGUUGGGCGGAGUAGAAAGCAAAGCAAGCACUAAAAAAAUAACAUGCGCACCUAAACGGCCUCUAAAUAGCAGAAAGGCGACUCAAAAUGAUCAAAGAGGUCCCCUCCCCACAUAAACAAUUAAACUUCUUCACUCAGUGCUCUUCAGCAGAUAAUAUUUUGAAUGGAAUCCGAUUGAUGGGUCCUCCUUUUGAUCAUUUCAGACUCAAAAUAUACGAAAAUUAACAUUGCAUGCUCCAUAAAGGAUGAGAGAGAUAAAAAGGAGAGAAUAAUAACUUACUUGGCUACUUUCCAACUUUCUCUUUCUCACUCCAUGGUAAAGAAACUGUUGGAGAAAUGUCUACCUUCAUAUAUGCGCCGAUGGUAUUGGCGAUGGAAUAGAACAAGUAGUCAUUACAAAGAUCAUGAUAGAGUCAUGAAUAAACUCAUUCACUUUCGGUAAGAACAUGUCAUUCUUAAAUAAAGCCUAGAGAUACCAGGAAUUCAAUGGUAUAAUAAACACCAUAAAAAACUUUCUUUCAGAAGAAAUGAAGAAGAGAAGAUAAUGUAGGAUGGAGAUCUUAUAUUAGAGUUUAGAGUCGUGGCUGAAUUUGACCGACUCUUGAGAAGAUGAGUGUUGGUCCAAAUGAAAGGAUUCAUCCUUUGGUUCAAGAUCUCUUUUGAACCGAAAAACCAACCACCACCAAUUUACCAAAAUAGGAAUACACCAAUGGCAAACACCACUAAACUUGUGAAAAUAGAAAAUAAACCACCUUUUCCCCCUCAUGGCCGAGCAUUAUAGAGCAGCUUAUGGAUCUGAUUUAUGUCAAAAAUAAACAGCUCAAAAUCUAUCCAAAAUCAAGCCAAAAAUCGAACUUUGCCGUAAUCAAACCUAGAAAUUUCAAAUUUUCAAAUUUAAAAUCCAAAAUUUAGAAGCUUAUUAUUAUAACUAAUUAUAGAAAAACUCUCACUACACUAACUCAAGUUACUUUUUAAUCAAAUCACUAACUCAAGUGACUUUCUAUGAAAUUAACUAAAUUCCAACUAGGUAUUUCGGUGAUACGAAUGUUGAGAACUAGAAUGAAACAAACGAAAUAAACAAAACCUGUACAAGGAACAUAAGCAUCAGCUACCUAAUCUCCUCUUCUCAACAAAUCUGAUAAAAAUGCAAUUCUACUGCUAUUUCUGGCAACCUUGAUUCUCCUAGUCAGUCAUUGGAUUAAAUUAAUGCUCAAAACUUGUACGGUAUGAAAUAAUUGUAUAAAGAGGAAAUUAUCCUUAUCAAAAGGGAGAGGAUAUACCUCGCAAUUCGUAGAGAAAACGCAGUUCUUGAUUGGUAACAGUGGGUGGAUGGGAUUAUAAAUAGUAACUCGUGGUGCAAAAUUGACAUGGUGGCACUAGAUUUAGAGAAUAGAAUACGUCGGGAGGAAGGAAUCAGAACAACAGCAAGUUGGUUAUAGAAAGUGAUCGGAUCAGAAACGAAAUGUAUAAAAAGAGACACGUGAAACAAAGGAGAUUCUCCAAGUUGGUUUCUCACCAGUUCUCUGAGAAUGACUUAAAAAUUGCAUACAGUACUAGAUGAGUCAUGUAUGUCAAUCUGUCAUUGAAAUACUAAGAAAAAUGCAUCUCUGAAAGUAGCUCCAGUUCUCUCUGCUUACUGAAAUUGUACAUGAGAAAUUCAUAAAAAAGUAACUCAGUGUAAAAGUUGGUGAAUUCUGUUACCUCUUAGCAACAAAGGAAAAGAACUGAAAGACUGAAAAAGCAAUGCAUUUAAAUGGAAAGAAAAUAUUUACCUGACAAAUAAAAAAUAAUAGGUAGAUCAGAAAUAAUACCCAAUUUUCCAUAGUAAGAUAAAACAUUUCAUAGAAGGUGAAGAGCUCAAACAUUUUUGAGGUAUUGCAAUACAGGGCUUAUAAUUUAUAAAAUCCCACUAGCUUCACAGUUCCACGUAUUUGGUGUGAAGUAGUGGCUAGCACCAUGAAUUGUCUAGUAGGCGCAGUAUCUAACAUCAUAUAUCUUUUUUCCAACUCAACAAGCACAAAAAAGAUCUAUUUGUGAAGCACGCAUGUCUAGCAGGAAGCGCUAAAAAACAAGACAAACAUACAGCAAAUCUCACCUGGGACAUCAAAUUGGCAGUCUUUAGCUACAUUAGUGCUACAACACACUCAUCUGUCUCAUCUGCCGUCAUAACAAAGCCCAGAACUAAGCAUCUCUGCAGUCAUAAGUGUAUAUGUCAGAAAGAGAAAGAAGACGGGAAAUAAAGUGAACUCAAGAAGAAAUGAGAUGAGAACAAAGUACAACUAAAUAAGAGUUAGUGAUGGCAUAUUUUCAGGAAAAGGACAGCUAGGUCCCACCACAACUAUUAGCCGUAAACAAAACUCAGCACACGAGUUUUUAGCUGUACCCUCCACUAUAUAUUUGUGCACCCAGUUCAGUUUAGGAACCAAGUUUUGAAAAAUAACUCCCACUUCACCAAGAACAAAUUCCAGCAUCAUGUCUGUCAACUGUGUUGAGCCAAAACCAGGGAUGACAGAACCGAUGGCUGUGCUUGCGUAUCCAGUACAACCCGAGUCGAAGUCUGCCAUCCAACUGAGAGUAUUUCCUAUAGCUUUGAAGGUCACUCUCCCUUGCCCAAUUUCAAACACUUAAUGUUUGUUAGUGAUAUAUUACUACAGGGAUUGAUCAUAGUUUAGAAAGAUUUAACCCAAGUUUUCUUUUUGGCGUUUACAGUUCGAGGAGGUGGUCUACAAAGUUCAACUGGAAGAUAAAGGAUUGUGUUCAGGAGGUACAUGUAAGGAGAAGACUAUAUUGAAUGGGAUAACAGGACUGGUUCUCCCUGGGGAGAUCCUAGCUAUGUUGGGUCCAUCAGGCAGUGGUAAAACAACUCUCCUUACUGCCCUCGGAGGCCGGCUCCACGGCAAGUUGUCAGGAAAGAUGUCAUACAAUGGACAGCCCUUUUCAGGUGCCAUAAAGCGACGCACAGGAUUUGUCGCCCAAGAUGAUGUUUUGUAUCCACAUCUAACUGUUACCGAAACUCUCAUGUUCACUGCACUGCUAAGGCUACCGAAAACCUUAACUUGGGAAGAGAAAGCACAACAUGUGGAACGAGUCGUCGUUGAGUUGGGAUUAACCCGCUGCAGAAACAGCAUGAUAGGCGGCCCGCUUUUUCGAGGCAUAUCAGGAGGAGAGAAGAAGAGGCUGAGCAUAGGUCAAGAAAUGCUAAUAAAUCCAAGCUUACUACUACUAGAUGAGCCGACAUCAGGUUUGGACUCGACCACAGCUCAGAAGAUUCUAACAACGAUCAAACGGCUUGCUAGUGGGGGGAGAACAAUAGUCACAACCAUUCACCAGCCCUCUAGUCGGCUAUACCACAUGUUUGAUAAGGUAGUUUUGCUCUCUGAAGGCUCUCCAAUCUAUUAUGGUCCUGCAUCAGCUGCCUUGGACUACUUUUCUUCCAUUGGUUUCUCCACUUCCGUGACUGUCAAUCCAGCUGAUCUCUUACUUGAUCUCGCUAACGGUAAUUUUUUUUUAAAGAUUCCCGUUGUUGAUCUAAGUAUUUCUAUCCAACCAUAAGUAUGGCUCUUGUUCAUAGGAUAAUGAAAACUAACGUGCAGUGAGGAAGAGAAGAAAAGCUUUCUUAGGUAAAACAUCAUAAAAAUCUUUUAGUUUAUGGGACCUCUUAGGCAAGGGCAGUUCCCUACUUUUGGUGGUGGUUAAUGGGACCUCUAACUCAUGACUCUCUAAACGACUUCCUGCUCUCCAAUAGUAAUAUACUGAAGAAAAAUGAUUCUCAAGUGUACUGAUUUUGGUCUAGAAGGGUAGUUUAGUAACUGUUGUCUUUUUUUCACCUAAUUUAUUUAUUUAAUUAAUAUAAUCUACAAACAAACUCGGAUUUGAAUAAUGUUUGCUCUAAAAAUUUAGUUUUUCAAAAACGAUUUAAACAUGCACAGUUGUGAUAGGGGUUUGACGAAUUUUUUUUUCUUUUGAGGUCAAACAUGUGAAUUGACCCGCCUCUAGACUUAAUAUGUAGUGAGACACCUAAUUUUGUCUUACUGUGAGACAAUAAACCUUUUCAAAUCUGAUAGAACCCCCACCCUAAACCCUUCCAAGGAAUAAAAAUUCAAGCUUUCUUUAUACAGAUACAAAAUUCAAGCUUUGAUAUCUAUAAUCAACACGUAACUCUGUACAGUUAAAUUUACAGGUAUCCCUCCCGUCACUCAGAAUGGAAGGGAGCAAGGUGAGAGCACAGAAAAGGAGCAGAAGCAGGUGAGGGAAACUCUUAUUUCUGGUUAUGAGAAGAAGAUUUCAACAAGUCUGAAAGCAGAACUCUGCAACCUGGAUAUCAGCAACUUCGGCUACACAAAAGACACCCCUUCAAGUAAGCAUUCUUUUGAGCCCGCUCCCUUAUCUGAGUUUCAACGCUACUCCGAUGGAGCUCUAACUUUCAAUAUAUUGGAUAAAACGUAUAGGAAUGAACAGCAAGUCAGAAGAGUGGUGUACAAGCUGGUGGCAUCAGUUCAAGGUCCUACUUCAGAGGGGUUUGAGGGAACGAAGGUUCGAAGCAUUUAACAGGCUGAGAAUUUUCCAAGUCAUCAGUGUUGCAGUACUUGGUGGGCUCCUCUGGUGGCAAACCCCAACAUCUCACAUUGAAGACCGGGUAAGAAUUCACACCACAGAAUUGUUAAGUAAAUUCUAUAAAAACUAUCAGGCUUAAGCCCCUUAGUUUCUUAAGUGCUGAUAACUUGCAUGACGUAACAUGCAGAUAGCAUUGUUGUUCUUCUUCUCGGUAUUUUGGGGAUUCUACCCUCUCUACAAUGCAGUUUUCACAUUUCCACAAGAACGACGGAUGCUGAUAAAAGAACGAGCUUCGGGAAUGUAUCACCUCUCAACCUACUUUUUAUCCAGAACCAUUGGUGACCUUCCAAUGGAGCUUGCACUCCCUACAGCAUUUGUUUGCAUAAUUUAUUGGAUGGGUGGGCUUAAACCUGAUCCCAUAACUUUCAUACUGUCCCUGAUUGUCGUUCUCUAUAGUGUCUUAGUCUCCCAAAGUCUUGGAUUAGCGAUUGGUGCUAUUCUUAUGGACAUAAAACAAGCCACUACGUUAGCUUCAGUUACAACUCUGGUAUUCCUCAUUGCUGGUGGGUACUACGUGCAACAAAUACCUCCAUUUAUAGUUUGGCUCAAGUACUUGAGCUACAGCUACUACUGUUACAAGCUUCUACUUGGAGUCCAAUACAAAGAAGAUGAUUAUUAUGAAUGUUCCAAGGGAGUGUUGUGCCGGGUUGGGGAUUAUCCAGCCAUCAAAUCAAUGGGGCUAGACAAUUUGUGGAUGGAUGUCUGCAUUAUGGCCUUGAUGUUGGUAGGCUAUCGACUCAUUGCUUAUUUAGCACUUCAUCGAGUACAAUUGAGGUGAACUUAGCUACCCUUGAAGAGUUUUGUCAUCUUUCAACAGCAGAAUAAUGUCUAAUGUAGGCUGGGGGGCAAAGGCACACUAAGAUUUUGAUAUAUUUUGCCUCCAAUUAAUGUACUUGGCCUAUCUGUUAUACAUGGAUUUCCUAAUCCUAAGUUAGGCACCUUGUCCUCCAAAUAUUCUGUGGAACUGUUCUCUGAAUAUUUGUUGGAGGCAAGGAUCGUUCCAGAAGACAAAAGGUCACUUUUUCCCCCUAAUGGCUUUCAGUCAAGGCAUCACCAAUAUAUUCGACUAAGGAAUAAUGAAGGGAGUUAAACAAUCAAACAGCAAGUGAUAGUGAUAGGCAGUAAGCUGUCAAAUGGAAGACAAAGCAAGAUUCCACCCUUUCAAUCAAUAAAGACACACAAGGCAUAGCAAAUGGAGAGAUAUCAAAACUUGACUCUCCUGAGAGAGCAAAUACAAACAGUAGUUAGCUAUCCGUACCUGUUUCUCUUGUAAAUGAACUCUCGCUGCAGAGUUUCAAACAUUGCUGCUCUUGCAAAUUUGCGAUUGAAAGCUUCAAAUCCUGGGGACCAAGAACCGUUGAAACUUAGGUAAUGGGACGAAAAAACUUCGCGCCGAGUUUUUUCGGUCAUGGGAUGGGAGCUCCGUUUCAGGGGAAAAAAAAUCGCUCACCGAACCACAAAAUUACGACGAGCUAUGUUAAGAUAGUAAUGCCAAUCGGAUUGAGCUUCUUCAUCGUCAGAGUCUCUAAUGGUAGAACAAGAAAGGAGAAAGGACCGGCGAACUAUAGCCGCGAGAUUAACUUUUCCAAUGGGGUAGAGUACAAAAAAUAAAAAAAUAAAA
rnacentral:lncRNA from 1 species